rnacentral:rRNA from 1 species
GCUAAGAAUAUUCCGCAAUGGACGAAAGUCUGACGGAGCGACGCCGCGUGGAUGAAGAAGGCCGAAAGGUUGUAAAGUUCUUUUGUUGGGGAAGAAUAACCAUGGUAGGGAAUGCCCGUGGGAUGACAUGAACCGACGAAUAAGCCCCGGCUAACUACGUGCCAGCAGCCGCGGUAACACGUAGGGGGCGCGCGUUGUUCGGAAUUACUGGGCGUAAAGGGCAUGUAGGCGGUCUUGUAAGCGGGGCGUGAAAGACCACGGCUCAACCGUGGGAUUGCGAUGAGAACUGGGAGGCUUGAGUGACGGAGAGGGAGCUAGAAUUCCUGGUGUAGGGGUGGAAUCUGUAGAGAUCAGGAAGAAUACCAAUGGCGAAGGCAAGCUCCUGGCCGAUGACUGACGCUGAGGUGCGAAAGUGUGGGGAUCAAACAGGAUUAGAUACCCUUGUAGUCC